GACCGCAUAGCUCAGUUGGAAGAGCAUUGGGCUAGUAUUCCAAAGGUCGUAGGUUCAAAUCCCACCGUGGCCG